UGAGGAAUAUUGCGCAAUGGGGGAAACCCUGACGCAGCGACGCCGCGUGGGCGACGAAGGCCUUCGGGUCGUAAAGCCCUUUUGGCAGGGACGAGUGAGGACGGUACCUGCUGAAUAAGUCUCGGCUAACUACGUGCCAGCAGCCGCGGUAAAACGUAGGAGGCGAGCGUUAUCCGGAUUCACUGGGCGUAAAGCGCGCGUAGGCGGUUGGGUAAGUCGGACGUGAAAGCCCCUGGCUCAACUGGGGGAGGCCGUUCGAUACUGCCCGGCUUGAGGGUGAGAGAGGGAAGUGGAAUUCCCGGUGUAGCGGUGGAAUGCGUAGAGAUCGGGAGGAACACCAGUGGCGAAAGCGGCUUCCUGGCUCACUCCUGACGCUGAGAGCGCGAAAGCGUGGGGAGCA
rnacentral:rRNA from 1 species